rnacentral:lncRNA from 1 species
UUGGCCAUCAUGCAAAAAAAAAUUUGGAGUAUCCAACUUUGCAUCUAUGAAAGACUAAUGAACUCCAGAUGUUUCGUCCUUCUAAAAAUAUUCUGAUAAAUGGGGUUCUUCUUCUUCUUCAAAUGUGUAAUGAAUGGUUCGAGACUUAAUUUUGCAUACAGUCCACCAUUUUUUCUUUCUCUUUCCCUUGAUGGAAAGGGAGUAUAAUAUACUUGAACAAUUUGUUGGACUAGC